ACUUUAUUUUCCCAACAGCUAGCCCUCAAAAAAAUUCAACAAAAAACAUUAAUAACCAUAAAUGCACUAAUACAACAAAACAAAUCAUUUUUCCCCCCUAGUAUGGGUGACAAAAAAGGACCACAGGCGCAAUAGAAAAAGUACCGCAAGGGAAAGCUGAAAGAGAAAUGAAAAAACCCAGUAAAGAUUAAAAAAGCAGAGACACAACCUCGUACCUUUUGCAUCAUGAAUUAGCAAGUAACCCUCAAGCAAAGUGCCCUUUAGUUUGAGCCCCCGAAACUGAGCGAGCUACUCCAAGACUGCCUAUAAAGGGCUAACCCGUCUCUGUGGCAAAAGAGUGGGAAGAGCUUAGAGUAGAGGUGACAGACCUACCGAGCCCAGUUAUAGCUGGUUGCCUAUAAAAUGAACAGGAGUUCAGCCUUUUGGCUUUUUUAUUCGAAACUGGUAACACCCCAGAAUGAUCCAAAGAAGUCUUAAGAGUUAUUCAAGAGGGGUACACCCCCCUUGAAAAAAGACACAACUUUUUAAGCAGGCUAAAGAUUAUAAGAUUUAAAGGCAACAUACCUUGGUAGGCCUAAAAGCAGCCACCCCCACAGAAAGCGUUAAAGCUCAAGUACUUUGCCCCCUAUAAUUUCAACAACAAUUUCUUAAGCCCCUCCAUUUAACCCAUAGUAGGCCUUUUUAUGCAAACAUAAAAGAGAUACUGCUAGCAUGAGUAAUAAGGGAGCUAAGCCUCCCUCCAAGGCACCUGUUUACAUCAGAACGAACCCCCACUGAAAAUUAACGCCCCCAACCAAAGAGGGGACUGAGAUAAUUCAAUUAAACUAGAAAACCUCUCAACCUUAACAGCGUUAACCCCACACAGGUGUGCCCAAGGAAAGACUAAAAGAAAAAGAAGGAACUCGGCAAACACUGGCCUCGCCUGUUUACCAAAAACAUCGCCUCUUGCAUUUUAACAUAUAAGAGGUCCCGCCUGCCCUGUGACUCAUGAGUUUAACGGCCGCAGUAUUUUGACUGUGCAAAGGUAGCGUAAUCACUUGUCUUUUAAAUGGAGACCAGUAUGAAUGGCAUAACGAGGGCCAAGCUGUCUCCUUUUUCCAGUCAAUGAAAUUGAUUUUCCUGUGCAGAAGCAAGAAUAUUUACAUAAGACGAGAAGACCCUAUGGAGCUUAAGACACAAGACAGCCCAUGUUAAAAACCCACACUUAAUGGAAGUAACCAAAUGGCCUCUGUCCACCUGUCUUUGGUUGGGGCGACCGUGGAGUAAUAAAAAACCCCCAUGUGGAAUAGGGCCUUGGCCCUUAAAGCCAGAGCCACAGCUCUAGCAAACAGAACAUCUGACCUUCAAGAUCCGGCAAGACCGAUCAACGGACCGAGUUACCCUAGGGAUAACAGCGCAAUCCCCUUUUAGAGCCCAUAUCGACAAGGGGGUUUACGACCUCGAUGUUGGAUCAGGACACCCUAAUGGUGCAGCCGCUAUUAAGGGUUCGUUUGUUCAACGAUUAAAGUCCUACGUGAUCUGAGUUCAGACCGGAGAAAUCCAGGUCAGUUUCUAUCUAUGUAGUGCUCUUUUCUAGUACGAAAGGACCGAAAAGAGGAGGCCCAUACUUUAAGCAAGCCUCACCCCUACCUAGUGAAACCAACUAAAAUAGGUAAAAGGGCAUACCUUUUUCCUCCUGAGAAAAAGGCAA
rnacentral:rRNA from 1 species